CAGUCGGAUAAUCGCGCGGGGUAAAUUAAUACCUUGUGAGGAAAGUCCGUGCAUCCAAGGACAGCUCGCCGGAGAAACUCCGGACGGCGUGAGCCGGUGGAUCGGACCACAGAAAGGGAAUGAGGUAAAUAUUAGUUACUUCUGUUCCAAAAGACUACCGAUGGAUUGUGGGUUUCCAUAAUCACAGGUGAUGGUGCAAAGGUGAGGUAAGAGCUCACCGGAUAUACUGAGAAGUAUAUGCCAGGCAACCCCCGAGCGGAUGCAAGAUUGAAACAAGCGUUUGAGGUGUCCGCCGAGCUUGGAAAAUCGCUUGAGAUUAGGAGUAAUCCUAAUACCAGACAGAUGAUUAUCGGAGUAUUUAUACUCCCUGCCGAUAGAGCGAACCUCGGGUUUUGAAGUCGGCUGAGAAACAGAACACGGCUUAUGAGCUGCUUU
rnacentral:RNase_P_RNA from 1 species